rnacentral:rRNA from 1 species
UACGAAGGGGGCUAGCGUUGUUCGGAAUUACUGGGCGUAAAGCGCGCGCAGGCGGUCUUCCAAGUCAGUGGUGAAAGCCCGGAGCUCAACUCCGGAACUGCCAUUGAAACUGUUAGACUUGAGGAUGAGAGAGGUGAGUGGAAUUCCCAGUGUAGAGGUGAAAUGCGCAGAUAUCGGGAAGAACACCCGUGGCGAAGGCGGCUCUCUGGGACGGUACUGACGCUGAGACGCGAAAGCGUGGGGAGCAAACAGG